rnacentral:rRNA from 1 species
GAUGAACGCUGGCGGCGUGCCUAAUACAUGCGAGUCGAGCGAAUGACGAGGAGCUUGCUCCUCUGAUUUAGCGGCGGACGGGUGAGUAACACGUGGGUAAUCUGCCUGUAAGACGGGGAUAACUCCGGGAAACCGGGGCUAAUACCGGAUAACAAAAGAAGAUGCAUAUCUUCUUUUUGAAAGUCGGUUUCGGCUGACACUUACAGAUGAGCCCGCGGCGCAUUAGCUAGUUGGUGAGGUAACGGCUCACCAAGGCGACGAUGCGUAGCCGACCUGAGAGGGUGAGCGGCCACACUGGGACUGAGACACGGCCCAGACUCCUACGGGAGGCAGCAGUGGGGAAUCUUCGGCAAUGGGCGAAAGCCUGACCGAGCAACGCCGCGUGAGCGAUGAAGGCCUUCGGGUCGUAAAGCUCUGUUGUUAGAGAAGAACAAGUACGAGAGUAACUGCUCGUACCUUGACGGUACCUAACCAGAAAGCCACGGCUAACUACGUGCCAGCCGCCGCCGUAACAC